AGCUUUGUGCAGUGGCAGUAUCGUAGCUAAUGAGGUUAAUCCGAGGUGCGAUUAUUGCUAGUUGAAAACUUUUCCCAUUACCUCUACAUACAGCACUAGUAAGACAACAUUAGGAAUGCCAUGGC
rnacentral:snRNA from 1 species